UAGUGUCUGAUGCCUCUAACAACUUAAUUCAAGCAGGAUAAGUCAUGAUGGCCGUCCUACCUUGCAUCAGUACAACAGUGUGGCGUAGGGACAAUCCAUAAUAAUCCUUAAUACCAUAGACGAUUAAUACCUUUGAAGUCCCAUAAUAAUAAUUGAAACAAUUAGGUUGAAGGUGUCUGUUUUCUUUUUCAGCCAUCCUCUGUGUGCAACAGCUGAUUGGCAUGGCCUCCACAAGAAGUCCUGUCUUUGUUGUCAUGGCAGCAGCCUGCCUUUCUUCUUGGGUGACAGGGGUGGUGUUUGGGAGUGUCCCUGUUGUCUACACCUGGAUCAGGUAAGACGCUUGCUUUAAUCUUUCACAUAGUGCUCCAUAGUCGUUUCUAAUUAACAUCAUUCAUUCCCCUCUAAUACAGGUACGACCCUGCAGAGAUGUUGUGUGCUGUCUUUUGGGAGAACAGUUACUCAGAUAUGUUGGUCUAUAUUCUCUGCGCUUUCUCCAUUUGUAUCUUCCUCCCCUUCCUCCUCAUCGUCCUUUGCUCUCUACUGAUUGCCACUGGCUGCCGCUCAAGCUGCAACAGGGAUGGUGAAGCAGAUCUGUCUUCAGUCAGUCCUAAGCUGGUGGCCUUCUACAUGCUCUGCUACACUCCUUUUGUUGCGUCUGAGCUCAUCCUGCUGGGAAGGAUGGACCUGUCCCCGGCACCUCAUUGGUUAAGGACUCUUUCAUCAGUGAUGUCAUACUUGGACUGUAGUCUGAACCCUCUUAUUUACUGCUCCCAUCAAAACUUCCGGGAAGCGGGCCUCGCUCUGCUUUGGACCAGAAAGAAACCAUCGACAGAGCCUGUCCUCACUUCUAUCACUAGACAUGACGUGUAA
ensembl:lncRNA